AGACAGAUUUAGAAAAGACGACGCGACCUCAAAGACGACGUGAAAAUGGCGUGUUCUGUCCAUAUAUGGAUGUACCACGCCACUUUGACGCCAUUUUCACGUCGUCUUUGAGGUCGCGUCGUCUUUUCUAAAUCUGUCU